rnacentral:rRNA from 1 species
GAUGAACGCUGGCGGCGUGCCUAAUACAUGCAAGUCGAGCGAACGGACGAGGAGCUUGCUCCUCUGAUGUUAGCGGCGGACGGGUGAGUAACACGUGGAUAACCUACCUAUAAGACUGGGAUAACUUCGGGAAACCGGAGCUAAUACCGGAUAAUAUAUUGAACCGCAUGGUUCAAUAGUGAAAGACGGUUUUGCUGUCACUUAUAGAUGGAUCCGCGCCGCAUUAGCUAGUUGGUAAGGUAACGGCUUACCAAGGCAACGAUGCGUAGCCGACCUGAGAGGGUGAUCGGCCACACUGGAACUGAGACACGGUCCAGACUCCUACGGGAGGCAGCAGUAGGGAAUCUUCCGCAAUGGGCGAAAGCCUGACGGAGCAACGCCGCGUGAGUGAUGAAGGUCUUCGGAUCGUAAAACUCUGUUAUUAGGGAAGAACAAAUGUGUAAGUAACUAUGCACGUCUUGACGGUACCUAAUCAGAAAGCCACGGCUAACUACGUG